AUCCUCGUGACCUUGUGUGCGUACGCACGCCCCCACGCGCUGUGGCUACGCAGCUCUCUGGGUGUUCCAGCUGGCUGCAGCGCCGUCUUCGCAGCGACAUACAGAUAAGUGCUGCGGGGGAGCCGUCCACACGCUUUUUGCCGGUGAGCACCACCGCACAGUGCGCCCCCUCAUCUCUGCUGUUCUUUGUCGUGGCUGCUGUCCACGAAACACACCGACCGACGCGUGGGGAGGGGGAGGUAUGCCGCCUCUGCACAGCCGCGCAACGCGGCAGCUCGUAAAGGAGCGUAACAAGAUCGAAGGCCCGCGCUCGUUGCACCGCGGCAUCCACUACCAGGAGAACGAAGCCCAUGCCUCGUCGUACAUGCAAAAUGCCAAGAAGAAGCGGGCUGAUCACCGCGACCUGCUCGUGCACCAUCAGCGCAUCAACGAGGACCUGCAGGACAUCUACACUCGCACGGCGGCCCUGCACUCCGACAACAUGACGAUGGAGGAGCGCAUCGAGGAGAACUGGAAGAAGUUUGAGCGCAUCGGUGGUAAGCGGCCCGCAAACGUGCGCACGCGCGGCCAGGACGCCGUCCUCUGCGCGAACCAAACCGCUGUGCCGUACGCGGAGCGACUCGCGCAGGUGUCGCAGCAGAAGAAGGAGCUGCGGGAGCGCGGCGCAUGGGAGAGGCUGACGCAUGGGGAAGCUGUGGAUUAUAGUAAAGGCAGUGCGCUGCACGCGGCCAAGGACAGGCGUGUGCAGAUGUUUCAACGUCGCCAGCUCCGUCGCGCGCACCUGCUCCGGCGUGUUGGUGACCCGACGCCGUUGAAGCAGUCCGGUACGUACGACAUGAACAGCGGCACACUUCAGGUCUUCAACAAAACCAUUCGCAACGUGCAGCGUGAGGUGGCGCAUGACGCCCGCAUCGCAGAGGUCCGGAAGCGCCGCAAGAAUAGUCGUAGCCAGUGGGACCUCAACGAGAGCGGCAACGUGAACCGGCCAGACCAAGAGGUACUGCGGUACUCGCGCGACUGGGAACUCGGCCCGCGACGCAAGGCCCGCGGCGGCGGUGGUGGCCGCGGAGGGCGGAAGCGCGGACGAGAUGAGCUUUAAGCCUCCUAUGCGGCACGUCGCUUUCCUACUCUGCGUUUUGAUGCUGUUGGCGUGUGCUUGGGUGUGCGUGAGUGUGCACGGACGGGUGAGGGGUUGUCCGUGCAGGACAUCGGGGCGGCGGCCGCCGCGGCUUGCUUAGCGCCUCAUGUCGAUGUACCCCACCCUCCCCGUCGCUGGCUCGUGUGUCCGUCGCAUUCAUUGAUGUGCUAAGAGAAUAAUACGCGUUUAAGCGUGCACCACUACGCACACGUCGUUUGUGGCCACGUCGUCGAUAUGGAGGGCAUGCUGCGGGCGCCGCCGUGGUGGCGGCGGCGUUCAUGUGGUUUCGAUACUGGCGAAGGUCUAACACACACACACAC
rnacentral:misc_RNA from 1 species